rnacentral:lncRNA from 2 species
AUGAACUCAAGUUCACCAAUGGUGAACCUUCAACCUCAUCCUCUCUGGUUCAUCCCGCCGGGCAGCACUUGCAUCCGGCUGGUCCAAAUCACCGUCGAAGGGUUGACACGGGUUUGGUACAAGGAUCUAUACUCAGUGCCCCAAUUUGUUGUUUGGGAGCAGCCUAAUGCUCCAAAUGUCUUGGACCAUUAUGUUUAUAUUUUAAAUGGUGAAUUUGCUGAUAUUUUACCACCUGAUGAUGAUUUGCCACAUGGUGAUGGGCCUGUCGAUCCAAAUGUUGAGGAUGCACCAGCCUGGCAGUUUGGAAAUGAACAGCAGCAGCAUAAUCAGCAGAAUCCAAAUUGGGGAGCUUGGGAGGAUAAUCAGGGAGGUAAUCAGGUCGAUGAACAUCUUAUGCCUCUUGUCCCACAGUUGUUGAUUGAUUUGCAAGCAAGCUCUGCAAGCUCUCUAUCUACCUACCCUUCUGCUAGCUCUGCAGACAAGAGUAUUGUGGUUCAUAAGGAUUCUGUUCAUGCUGACUUAUAUAAUUAUCUUUGUGAGAGGUUUCCCCAUAUCAUGUUUGAUAAACACUUUACUCAAGAUUCUUCCUUUUGGGCUGCUCUCAGUAUUGGACGAUAUAUGCCUGGUGAAUCAUCUUCUUCUGGGCAGCAUCUGGGCUAUAGUCAGGGAAUGGAAUCGGAAUUGCCA